rnacentral:rRNA from 1 species
ACCACACCAAACCUUUAAACCGGUACGGGCUUGUGAGAGCGGGAGCCCGGAGAUGGGCACUGAGACAAGGGCCCAGGUCCUACGGGGCGCAGCAGUCGCGAAAACUUUGCAAUACACGAAAGUGUGACAGGGUCAUCCCGAGUGCCGACCGCUGAGGUUGGCUUUUACCCAGUCUAGAAAGCUGGGGGAAUAAGGAGAGGGCAAGUCUGGUGUCAGCCGCCGCGGUAAUACCAGCUCUCCGAGUGGUGUGGGCGUUUAUUGGGCCUAAAGCAUCCGUAGCUGGCUGAACAAGUCCCCUGUUAAACCCACCGAUUUAAUCGUUGGUCUGCGGGGGAUACUGCUCGGCUAGGGGACGAGAGAGGCAGGCGGUAUUCCCGGGGUAGGGGUGAAAUCCUAUAAUCCCGGGAAGACCACCAGUGGCGAAGGCUGCCUGCUAGAGCGCGCCCGACGGUGAGGGAUGAAAGCUGGGGGAGCGAACCGGAUUAGAUACCCGGGUAGUCCCAGCUGUAAACGAUGCAGGCUAGGUGUUUGGGCGGCCACGUGCCGCUCUAGUGCCGCAGGGAAGCCGUUAAGCCUGCCGCCUGGGGAGUACGAUCGCAAGAUUGAAACUUAAAGGAAU